UACGUAGGGGGCUAGCGUUGUCCGGAAUCAUUGGGCGUAAAGAGCGUGUAGGCGGUCCGGUAAGUCCGUUGUGAAAGUCAGGGGCUCAACCCUUGAAUGCCGGCGGAUACUGUCGGGCUAGAGUCCGGAAGAGGCAAGUGGAAUUCCCGGUGUAGCGGUGAAAUGCGCAGAUAUCUGGAGGAACACCGGUGGCGAAGGCGGCAUCCUGGACCGGUAUUGACGCUGAGGCGCGAAAGCCAGGGGAGCAAAGCGGG
rnacentral:rRNA from 1 species